rnacentral:pre_miRNA from 10 species
UCGAGACAGAGAACCAGCGCGCAGCUGAUCACGUGUAUUCUUAGGUAAAUAAUAUGGUGUGUUUUAUUGUUAUUGCUUGAGAAUACACGUAGUCAACUCGGCUCCUUCUGCUAAUGCUUCAU